GAAGGUGUAGCUCAGUGGUGAGAGCACAUGCUUAGCAUGCCCGGGGUCCUGGGUUCACUCCCCAACACCUCUG
rfam:Camelus ferus unplaced genomic scaffold scaffold96, whole genome shotgun sequence.